UUUUGGAUAUGCGAUUGACUUGUUUUCUUUUUCUGUUCUUUAAUGUGCUGAAUGUUAUCUUAAGGUUAGUUGGAAGGAACAUGAUACUAGAGGAAUGGUUGCAAUCCUUUCAUUUUUAUGAGUAUAUCAAUCAUAAUACUCACAUGUGUUGAUUUAUGUGUAACGCUUCAGGUUCGGAGGCGGCGACGAGUACCGUGGCUCCACGUAGGGAGUGAGCUCGUGUUGGUACCUUUUUGACUGGACCUCGAGUGUUUUCUUUUCAGGUGCGUGACGGCACGCGGGUCCACUGCAGAGUCUAGACAGGAGUUUUGUAUAUAGAAGUCUAGCUUUUUGACUCUUUUGAUUAUGUGUCUAUUUUUGGAGCUUGUAUAUGUUGUAAAUAUAUGUGGGCACGUCUUGUAUGACAGUUAUUUCCGUAUAUAUGCAAGUUAAGUUUUUUUU